GAUUGAACGCUGGCGGCAUGCCUUCCACAUGCAAGUCGAACGGCAGCACGGGUGCUUGCACCUGGUGGCGAGUGGCGAACGGGUGAGUAAUACAUCGGAACAUGUCCUGUAGUGGGGGAUAGCCCGGCGAAAGCCGGAUUAAUACCGCAUACGAUCUACGGAUGAAAGCGGGGGACCUUCGGGUCUCGCGCUACAGGGUUGGCCGAUGGCUGAUUAGCUAGUUGGGGGGGUAAAGGCCUACCAAGGCGACGAUCAGUAGCUGGUCUGAGAGGACGACCAGCCACACUGGGACUGAGACACGGCCCAGACUCCUACGGGAGGCAGCAGUGGGGAAUUUUGGACAAUGGGCGAAAGCCUGAUCCAGCAAUGCCGCGUGUGUGAAGAAGGCCUUCGGGUUGUAAAGCACUUUUGUCCGGAAAGAAAUCCUUGGCCCUAAUACGGUCGGGGUAUGACGGUACCGGAAGAAUAAGCACCGGCUAACUACGUG
rnacentral:rRNA from 1 species